rnacentral:rRNA from 1 species
GACGUAGGGCGCGAGCGUUUGUCCGGAAUCAUUGGGCGUAAAGAGCGCGUAGGCGGCCCUGUAAGUCCGCUGUGAAAGUCAAGGGCUCAACCCUUGAAUGCCGGUGGAUACUGCAGGGCUAGAGUCCGGAAGAGGCGAGUGGAAUUCCUGGUGUAGCGGUGAAAUGCGUAGAUAUUGGGAGGAACACCAGUGGCGAAGGCGGCUCACUGGACCGGUACUGACGCUGAGGCGCGAAAGCGUGGGGAGCAAACGGG